rnacentral:misc_RNA from 1 species
AAGUCGUAACAAGGUUUCCGUAGGUGAACCUGCGGAAGGAUCAUUAACACGUUUCAAAACGUAUCAACCAACCGGUUAAGUGCAAACUUAUUCCCUAAUUUAGGAAGCAGUUCAAAGAUCUUUAGUGAUGGGUGAAUCUUCGGAUUUGCAGAGACUUUUGUGCUAGGGUCUUGAGCCCAAUGCUUUCUUCUUUAGGCUAUCCCCUUUUUUUCCAUCACUUCUACAUACCAUUUUCACCCCUUUAAAUUUUUUGACUAAAUCUUUCGAACGAAGAAAUUUGUUUGGAAUUGUAUAUCUAACACUGUACAACUCUUAGCAAUGGAUAUCUUGGUUCUC